UUUUAAGCAGACUCCAUGGAUUUCUCGCUUCACUUCUAUCUUGGAGGUAACCAACAGCUAUCUCACUAGACUUAAAACACACUCAACAGGAAAUAUUGUGUACUUUGGAUGCACUAAAGGAAAGAAGAAAUCAAAUACGUGAUCUAUGGAACAAUUUAAGACAUCUUCUAAGCAUUUUUGGGCCUAUAAAAUUCUAAACUUAUUUUCUCAAAAAAAAGAUUAAAUGCACUUUGUUAAAAAAUGAA